rnacentral:rRNA from 1 species
GACGAACGCUGGCGGCGUGCUUAACACAUGCAAGUCGAACGGAAAGGCCCUGCUUUUGUGGGGUGCUCGAGUGGCGAACGGGUGAGUAACACGUGAGUAACCUGCCCUUGACUUUGGGAUAACUUCAGGAAACUGGGGCUAAUACCGGAUCGGAGCUCCUGCUGCAUGGUGGGGGUUGGAAAGUUUCGGCGGUUGGGGAUGGACUCGCGGCUUAUCAGCUUGUUGGUGGGGUAGUGGCUUACCAAGGCUUUGACGGGUAGCCGGCCUGAGAGGGUGACCGGCCACAUUGGGACUGAGAUACGGCCCAGACUCCUACGGGAGGCAGCAGUGGGGAAUAUUGCACAAUGGGCGGGAGCCUGAUGCAGCAACGCCGCGUGCGGGAUGACGGCCUUCGGGUUGUAAACCGCUUUCGCCUGUGACGAAGCGUGAGUGACGGUAAUGGGUAAAGAAGCACCGGCUAACUACGUG